AGCGAUACUGAAACCGAAAGGAAUCGAAGGAAGGGCACCACCAGGAGUGGAGCGUGUGGCUUGACGUGGCUCAGCAUCGGAAAUCGCAGCAAGUCCAGA
rnacentral:rRNA from 11 species